rnacentral:lncRNA from 1 species
GUCAUAUAUUAAAAUAAUACAUAUUUACAACUUGAUCCAUCUUUUUAUACAAGUUAAUAUACAUAGAAAUAUCACACAACCAUUUUUUCCUCUUAUACAAAACACGUUAUACUUACAGACCCUCACUCAUAUAUGCUCACUCUUAUGUCAUCCUACCUCUAUGAUGAGAAUCAUCAUAAGAGCGAGAUCUUUGAAAUUAGUUAAGUCAUCACUCAGCCUGGGCACAAAAUACCGAGAACCGAGAACCGAACCGAAAAUACCGAAACCGAAUUUUUCGGUACCUUGUUCGGUUCCUAAUUUGCAUGAACCGAAUUUACCGAGGUAAAUUCGGUACUUUACCUCGGGGAACCGAAUUUACCGAAAUAUGCUGAGU